AAAUACACACACACACACACACACACACACACACACACACACACACACACACACUUAAAACUCAACAAUAAGCAAACAAUCUGAUUUAAAAAGAUCAUUACUUGUUCUCUGGGCUGAAAAACACAGGCGAUACCUCACCAAAGAAGAUACAUGGAUGGCAAAUAAACACAUUAAUAGAUACUCCUCAUCAUAUGUCAUAAGGGAAACGGAAAUUGAAACAACAAUAAGAUACCACUAUUAGAAUGGCCAAAUUCGGGAACACUUACAACAUCAAAUGCUGCUGAGGAUGUUAAGUAACAAAUUCUUAUUCACUGCUUAUGGGAAUGCAAAAUGGUACAACUACUUUUGAAGACAGUUUGGCGGUUUCUUAAAAACUAAACAUACUUUUUACCAUCUGAUCCAGUAAUCACACUCCUUGCUAUCUACCCAUUGGAGUUGAAAACUCCACAGAGAAACCUGCACAGGGAUGUUUACAGCAGCUUUAUUCUUAAUUGCCAAAACUUGGGAGCAAACAAGAUGUCCUUCAAUAGGUGGAUGGAUACAUAAACUGUGGCACAUCUAGACAAUGGAAUGUUAUUCAGCACUAAAAAGAAAUGAACUAUCAGGCCAUGAAAAGACCCAGAAGAACCUUAAGUGCGCAUCACUAAGUGAAAUAAGCCAUUCUGAAAAGGCUAUAUACGGUGUGCAACUAUAUGACAUUCUGGAAAAGGUAAAAUUUGGCAACAGGAAAAAGAUUGGUGGUUGCCAGGAGUUGGAGGUAGGGGAGGAAUCAAAAGGUGGAACACAAAGGGCUUUUAGGGCUUUUAAACACUCUGUAUGAUAUCAUAAUGAUGGAACCUGUCAAUAUAUAUUUAUCUAGACCCAUAGACUGACUGUACAACACCAAGAGUAAAGUCUAAUGUGAACUUUAGGUGAUUAUAACGCGUCAAUAUACGUUCGGCAAUGUAACAAAGUACCACCCUAGGAUGAAAACAGCCUGGGGAAGCUGAGGAAUUUUUUUAAACAAAGGGGAAUAUUCAUCUUCUGACCUGAACAGAAUGAUAUUAUACAGCAAAAGAAGACCCUUGAAUCCAUGAUACUUUCUUGAAAGUCAGAAGCCAGAAGCCAGAAGGCGAAGCAGCUACGGAGGUGAGGCCCACAGGACAGCAGUGAGCAGGAAGGAGGAGAGAUAAGAAUGGGUCAGGAAGGGCCAAAGGAACACAUCUACACACUCCCUUGUGACAGAAAUCUUUUUCGGUGAUACAUACUUUUGUUUGAAGAGCAAAUAAAGUGAGUGAUAACGUCA